GAUGAACGCUGGCGGCGUGCUUAACACAUGCAAGUCGAACGGAAAGGCCCUGCUUGCAGGGUACUCGGGUGGCGAACGGGUGAGUAACACGUUUGUGAUCUUCCCUGUACUUUGGGAUAAGCCUCUGAUACUGGGUCUAAUACCGAAUAUUUCAAUUUUUUGUAUGCGAUUGUGGAAAUCUUUUGCUUUUUGGGGUGAGCUCGCGACCUAUCAGCUUGUUGGUGGGGUAAUGGCCUACCAAGGCGUCGACGGGUAGCCGUCCUGAGACGGUGUACGGCCACGUUGGCAAGGAGAGACUGGACAGAUUCACACGGGGAGCAGCAGGGGGGAAUAUUGCACAAUGCGCGGAAGACUGAUGCAGGGAAGCGGGGUGGGGGAUGACGGCCUUCGGGUAGUAACCCACUUUCGCAACAGACGAAGCCUUUUGGUGACGGGAGGUAGAGAAGAAGCACCGACUAAAUAAGUG
rnacentral:rRNA from 1 species